AUGUCCGCGGGUUCCCUAUCC
rnacentral:miRNA from 1 species